GGUAAUUUAAGUAGGUCAAAUGAGUAUAGAAAUUUAAAAUUUUAUUGUAAAAUUCAAACUUCAGAAGUAGAACAUGUUUUAAAUAGGAUGCACAAUGGAAAAACCGUUAGACCAGAUGAUAUUCCAUUAGAGAUAUGGAAAUGCUUAGGGAAACAAAGUAUCGAAUGACUUAUAAAAUUAUUUAACAUGAUAUUGAAAAUAAAAAAAAAGUUCUAAUUCCCUUAUAUAUAUAUAUGAACAAGGGAUAUGUAUGCAAACUAUAGGGGUAUUAAACUAAUGAGUCAUACUAUGAAAUUUUGAGAAAGAGUAAUAGAAAAAAGAUUAAGGAGAUCACGGUAACUAAAAAUCAAUUUGGGUUGAAAGUCGAUAAUAGAAGUUAUACAUCUUCUAAGGCAACAAAUCGGAAAGUAUCGAAGCAAAAAUAAGCUCUAUACAUGAUAUUCAUUGACAUAGAAAAAACAUAUGAUAAAGUUAUAGAGAAUUCUAGAAAAGAAAGGUGUUGUGUAACAUAUAUUGAACUAAUUAAGGAUAUAUAUGAGGAUAUAAUGACCAGAGUGAAGACUUCAGGCGGAUCAACAGAAGUAUUUCUAAUAAAGAUAUGAUUAUAUCAAGAAUCAACUCUAAGUCUCUAUCUUAUUACGUUAAUUAUGGACGAACUCACUGGACAUAUUUAAGACGGAGUACCAUGGUGUAUGUUAUUUGCAGAUGAUAUUAUUUUGGUAGAUGAGACACGUGAAGGAGUAAAUGCUAAAUUAGAAAUUUGGCAGGAAACAUUAGAAGUUAAAUGUUUUAGACUUAGUAAAGGCAUAAUACAUGGAAUUUAAAUAGCAAUAUUAGACGUAAUGAGACAAUUGUUAAGAUAGGAGAUAACGAGUUAUGUGGAAUUCAGAGCUUUAAGUAUUUAGGAUUAUUUUUGCAAAAUGAAGGAGGGAUUGAUAGAGAUGUUUUAUAUAUAAUACAAGUAGGAUGGUUGAAAUGAAGGAGAGCGUCAGAUGUUCUAUGUGAUUGUAAAGUACCUUUAAAAUUUAAAGAGAAGUUCUAUAAAACGACGGUUGAACUUGCUAUGUUAUAUGACGCUGUAUGUUGGACUAUAACUUGAUCACAUGAGUAGAAGAUGAGAGUUGUAGAGAUGAGAAUGUUAAGGUGGAUGUGUGAAUAUAUGAGGAUGGAUAGAAUAAGAAAUGAGAGCGUUAGAGAGAAAGUCGGAGUUGCAUCUAUUAAGGAAAACUCUGAGAGACGCAUCUUAACAUUUAAGAUGGUACGAAUGUGUACUUAGACAAUCAAUAAAUGUUCUAGUUAGGUGAUAUGAAAUCAUGACAAAUGCACACAUCAAACGAGGAAGAGGAAGACCAAAAAAGACUUGGUUAGCAACAAUAAAAUAAGAUAAUCUUUAUUUAAGUAUAGAUGAUGAUACAGUAGGGGAUAAGAGUUCAAUGACAUAAAAUGAUUCAUAUAACCGACCCCACCUAGUGGGAUAAAGCUUAGUUGUUGUUAUAUUAAAAUAAUAAUUUUUCUUAGUGAAUGAUAUUAAUCUACAAUAAUUUUAUUUUUUUAUUACUAAAUGCAACAAUAUUUGCUAAUAUAUAUUUUAAUUUUUUUAUUCUAUUAACAAAGUUUAUUGUCGAUAAUCUAAAAGACAUACAUUUAACUCCACAAUAUAAUACUACUUGAUGUUUCUAGAAUAUUAUUUUAUUAAAUUGUAACAAUAAUAAUAUGAUAUUAUCAACCUAAUAAUAUCAAUAAUAUGAAAUCGCUAAUAACAUGACUAAUCAAAUUAACUUGUUCUACUAUUUCAUUAUUUGUAUUGUGUAUCAAUUGCUAUUUCACGGGACAAUAUAUAUUAGAAAUCUCUAUAGGAUAUUCAAUGAGGUCAGACAUUUUAGCCACAGAUCUGGCUGCAUACAACUGUUCACAAGUGACUUGAGUAUUGCAGAAUACUUAGCAGUAUUUCUAUUUCUUAACAUUAAUUUCUUUCAACCAACAAUUGUCAUCAGGAGCAGCUAUAAUGUUUGUUUCUAUAAGCAAUUUUCUUUUACAGUCGCUUCAUAUUGCAUCAUUCUGAUGGUUACCAGGUUACACAAAAUCAUCUUUUUAUUCACUCCUGGAGAUACAUCUAAUUAAGCCUAGUCAUGCCUGCUAGUUCUUAUAAAAUUGGGUGUGUAUUAGGGUCCUUCAGAACUUAUUCUUAUACUCUGAGCUAAAACCGUGUUUACAUAUUAAAAAACAACAACAAUUUUUUAAAUAUUCCCACUAUUUGAGUGAGCUAUAUGGAUCCUACCCCAUUAUUGAACUUCAUAUAAGGCUGCUCACUAGUAAUACUAAUAUUUUAGAACAAACACAAUCUUUCAUGAGGGUUUGAGAUAGCUUAUUUGUUAGAACUUAAUGCAACUUCCAUCCUCACACUCUGGGCUUGACAUUGGAUAAUAUGAGAAAAUUUUAGUUUACACAACUAGCAUUUAUGCGUGGAGCAUAUGGAUCCAUGCUUUCUGAUGUAAGUUAUCCUACAUCAUAUUCAUUGUUGUAAUUUAUAGAUUCCACUGUGAAAGAUUAAUUAUGCUGGAUAAGCAUGUAUUACUUAUCGUUUUAUUGUUCACACCUUGUAAUAACAGCUGAGAUUAUAAAUUUGUAAAAGGUUAGAACUGUGCCUUUUGAUCUGAAAAGCUAAAACUGGGUGUUUUUGCAUUGAGGCUCACUGAACAUCUAGAUAUUUACUAAUCUUAUGUUUUAUCAGGUAACAUGCUCAUGCAAUCGUUUGGUCGUUAAUAUCUGCUCUUUAAGUAAUUGUAUCAUUUAAUCUAAAUAGCAAUUUGCCAGAAGAUACAUGCAUAAUGGAAAAUAACAUGGUCAGUACUCAGUAUGACUACAUUCACUUUUAUUUCUAUUUAUGCAAUUCAAGUAUUUAUAAAUAGAAAAAACUUCUACUUGAAGAUAAGAUUAGGAUUUUAAGUUUUUUUAUCCAAUGUAAAAAAUGCUAGAACUUGUUAAGGUCAUAUAUUGUUUUACAUCUAUACUAUGUAAAUAAGGAAAAGCUCCCCUUCAACUAAAAGAAAUAAAACCCUCUCUCUAUUGGUAUUGGCUGAGGACAUAUAAUUAUGACAUCUGUUUCACUGACUUGUGUUGAUGCUAUUUAGGUGUCCCUACAAAUGUUGGCACUGUUUGUACUUCAAGAAGGUACUGUCUUACUCUGUGAUUUAAAUCUGAUAGUUUUCAGUUAAACUAGCUAGUGCUAUCUUACUUACAGAAAUGAUUUUAGCGACUUGCUGUAUAAUAUCAAAUUCAAAAUGUUUAUGGUUUUUGAUGCUAUUUAGUUUGACUGAGUACCUUGCAUCUAUGAUGAUACUGCAUUCCAACUUUAUAAUUUUUUGUCAAUUUAAUCUUUUUGGUAUUAAUUUUUUUUAAAAAAAUUUGUUGUUAAUUAUCUAAUAUCCUGAUUCGCAAAAUGACUGUCAGUGUAACAUAUUGAAGGACAUGGGUUUUUUAACUUAGCAACAACCAUACUUCAAUGAAUAUGGUGCAAUAUCUGUAUUUUGUUAAAUCUAUCAGUUUUAGGCAAUUAAAUUAAUAUUGUUCAAGAGAACGAGGAAUAUGUGGGGGUUGGUCAAGACCCAACAAGCCUGGAAGACAUCCACCAAGGAUGUUUCACCUUAGUGAACCAUCAAAUCACGGAGUGAGGUUGAAGUGUUUUCUACAUCAGUAUUUCUUUCAAUAAUUACUGAAAACAAAUAGUCAAUGUAAUGGCAAAGUGCUAUUUUUUAUAUUGGGUUGAAUUAUUUUUAUAGGCUUGUAUCCAACCUAAAAUUGCUUUCUUAUUGACUAGGUGACGAUGUUAGCUGCUUCAGUUAAAGUAGCUACAGACUCAGAUUCAGUGUGUCAGUUGACCGUCCGAAUCCAAGUUUCUUUUUUACUUCUGAAGAAACAACAAACUUCUGGUACCAAAUUCACUGCUGAUUUAUUUGAUCUCUGACCAACCUGGCAAGGAUGACAGCACUACGAUAAUACUUGGGCGGAAGAAGGCUUUGAACAAACAAAUGUGUCAGUCUGUUUUGGCAGGCAUACGGCAAGUUUACAUGAAUUAAGAUGAUCAGACGAGCCGCCAUUCGAGUGAAAAAUAAAAUAUGAGAUAAGAUGCAGAGAUAUUCUUUGGAAAUUUUACCUAAUACAUUUGCAGGUACAAGAUAAGAUUCAAUUAUCAGGAACUGCCAAAGAUGCACUGGAUGGCAUGGCAUCACUGUGACUCACCGCUACCACGUAACGACCUUCAGCAGAUGGCUGUGCGUCUGUUGUUAUGGAGCCAAACAUGGGCGCAUGUAUACUCCACCCACCGUAUGGCCUCUUGCUGUCUCUACACCUACACCACCUUCUGUACAUGGCAGAUGACUUUAUCGUCACAAGGGGGAAGGAACCUCACAUGCUUCCCGUGCCUAUCUUUUCCUCCCACCAAUUCUGCUGCUGUGCUGUGGAGAAAGGUGAUGAGGCCAUCUGAAUCUGCUGCGUUGUCCCUAUACUGGCUACAGCAGAGUCAUACAUGCGAUUGGAGGAAACGUGGCUACUUAGGGACGCCAAGCGUCUUUGCCCAUGUAGAUAUAUUUCGGCUCAUUUCUUUUCUCCUCUUCUCCUCCCACAUUAAAUACUGUGAGUCAUCAUUGUCUCUGUCAGUCCAUUCCUUUUUUCUUGAAUAGCCGACCACAUAGUGCUAGUGAUGGCGAUACAUCCUAAUGUUUAUGUUGGCUUGUCCCUUUAUGUUGGGCUCCGAAGAGAGCCUAAAGUUGACUCGGUAUAUUAAACUUCUUAUGAUUGUUCUGCGACUGCGCAUUGAUUGUUC